rnacentral:rRNA from 1 species
ACGGGUGCGUAACACGUGGAUAACAUACCGGAAAGCGAGGAAUAGCCCAGGGAAACUUGGAUUAAUACCUCAUGUGGUCGCAAGACUAAAGGCGGGGCAACCUGUCGCUUUCUGAUUGGUCCGCGGCCUAUCAGCUAGUUGGCGGGGUAACGGCCCACCAAGGCGACGACGGGUAGCUGGUCUGAGAGGAUGACCAGCCACACUGGAACUGAGACACGGUCCAGACACCUACGGGUGGCAGCAGUCGAGAAUCAUUCACAAUGGGGGAAACCCUGAUGGUGCGACGCCGCGUGGAGGAUAAGGUCUUCGGAUUGUAAACUCCUGUCAUGCGAGAGCAAGAUUUGUGCAGGUAACUCUGCUGAAUUUGAUAGUAUCGCAAGAGGAAGAGACGGCUAACUCUGUGCCAGCAGCCGCGGUAAUACAGAGGUCUCAAGCGUUGUUCGGAAUCACUGGGCGUAAAGGGUGCGUAGGUGGCGUGGAAAGUCAGAUGUGAAAUCCGGGGGCUCAACCUCCGAAUAGCAUCCGAUACUCCCAUGCUAGAGAACUGGAGGGGGAUCUGGAAUUCUCGGU